rnacentral:rRNA from 1 species
CAGUCGCCGCGGUAAUACAGAGGGUGCAAGCGUUAAUCGGAAUUACUGGGCGUAAAGCGCGCGUAGGUGGUUUGUUAAGUUGGAUGUGAAAGCCCCGGGCUUAACCUGGGAACUGCAUCCAAAACUGGCAAGCUAGAGUACGGUAGAGGGUGGUGGAAUUUCCUGUGUAGCGGUGAAAUGCGUAGAUAUAGGAAGGAACACCAGUGGCGAAGGCGACCACCUGGACUGAUACUGACACUGAGGUGCGAAAGCGUGGGGAGCAAACAGGAUUAGAUACCCCAGUAGUCCCUGUCUCUUAUAC